rnacentral:rRNA from 1 species
AGAGUUUGAUCCUGGCUCAGGACGAACGCUGGCGGCGUGCCUAAUACAUGCAAGUCGAGCGAAUCAUUAGGAGCUUGCUCCUGAUGGUUAGCGGCGGACGGGUGAGUAACACGUGGGCAACCUGCCUGUAAGACUGGGAUAACACCGGGAAACCGGUGCUAAUACCGGAUCAUUCUUCUCUUCACAUGAAGGGAAGUUGA